GCUUCAUGUGUGUUUGGAGGAGUUGGGCCUGUAUACCUGGAACCUGGGGGACUGAGUAUUUGAAGAUAAUGCAGAACAGAAUUGUUUGGCAAAUGUAAAUUUGUCCAGCUGACCCCAGUCACUAGAAAGACUGUCAUCUAACCUCUGCCAUGCUCAGAACGCGUGCCUAGAAGGGACAAUACAAGUGUGUGUGUGUGUGUGUGUGUGUGUGUGUGUGUGUGUGUGUGGUAGUGAUGAGAACCGGUGAUUUUUGUCUUUGUGGCAGGAAUACAUUGAAACCACUCUCAGAACAAUGGUUGGACCACAUCAUUUUCCAUAAAGCACAUUAUAAGAUUUGCUGAAGGGUUCUCUUGGAAACAAGAGUGACCCCAGCUCUGGAUGGAACACAUGAAGGGACAUGAGUGGAUCAGGCCACAGCAGUGCCACCCUCACAGAAUGCUUCUCUCUAGGCAGUGGCUGUGCUGAGAGGCCCACCUACCCAGCACUUCAUUAGGCCUCCUGAAGGUUCAACAUGUAGCCAGCAGUCUGUUCUCCAUGCCCACUGUCACCUCCAAUGUGGCAGCCACCAGAUCUCUGUGGUCAAGCAAGGCUAGGGAAAACUGGCAGCCUCCAGAUAGAAGUGGAAAGAGUGUGCCUCUAAAAACUUGGCUCCCUAUGAUUUCAGGUCAGGUCAACUUUCUAGAUCCCAAAAAAUCUGUGCCCGAGAAUUCUUCAUAGUCUUUAAGUACAAGUGGGAGUUCUCUGUCUUCCACAAUAGCAAUUCUCUCUCCCUGAGAGAUGGUAGCAGACCUUGGGGUUGCUACCGUAUAGCUUGUUUAUCAUCGCCUCUUCCCCUUAGAGUAGAAUGGACUUCUGGGUAGCUGUUGAGCCCACAGGCACCUUCUCUCCACUUCCUUCCCUGUGGUAGUAGUAUUAAUUAUUAUUAUUUUUUUAUUAUUAUUUUGAUUGCUUUUGCCCACACCUGUCUUCACUUCUUUCUUCCUCCUCUUUAUUUUUUUCUGCCCAGAAAAACCUGACUUCGAUACCAAAAAAAGAUAAAACUACAGAAACUCAAAUUUAAAAAAAAAAGAAAAAAACUCUUAGAAAAAAAAAAAAGAAAAAAAAGAAAAAAAACCUCAAUUCUUUCAGCUUUAUUAACAUUUUCCAUUGUUUCUUGCGAAUUGUGUCUCGUUCUUUGUAGUAUUGAUGAUGAACAUUUGAUAAUGAAUGUUCUUGUAUAUUCAGAUAAAGAAAAAAAAAAACCAAAAAAGCGGUCUGAAUUUAAUAGUGUUUAUAAUAAAAAAAAAUUUAAAAAUGACCCUCAUAGCACGCAAAACAGGAAGGGGAAGUGUCCCUUCUUUCUGUGACAAUACACAUCAUUCCUGCAUACUUUUUUUUUUUAACACCAAACUACCUAUGUUCCUCAUUUCUCCCGUUUUUCUUUUUAAUUUUCUUGCAUUUGUGAAUUAGUUCAAGAAUGCUAGAAAAGUGUCAAGGUGUGUACAUCCAUUUCUUCUCUCACGAUGUUUAAAAGUGACCGUACUUCAUUUUGUAAACUAAG
rnacentral:lncRNA from 1 species